UAAAAGACCCGGGCACCAUAGAAUAAAUUACAUGAUUAAUUGUCAGUGUUUAUGUUUGAUCACUGUUUCCCAGGUUCAAUGAAAGCAGCAGUUGCUGGAUCAAUCACAGCUGUUUUUCUGGCUCUCCUGUUCCUUUCUGCCUUCCUGUUGAUUAGAAAAAAACAGUCCUCCAAACAACCAUCCAGGCCUGAAGAGAGACCAGACACCACAGCACAGCUAAAUGUAGGAUCCAGA